UACGGGGGGGCAAGCGUUGUUCGGAAUUACUGGGCGUAAAGGGCUCGUAGGCGGCCAACUAAGUCAGACGUGAAAUCCCUCGGCUUAACCGGGGAACUGCGUCUGAUACUGGAUGGCUUGAGUUUGGGAGAGGGAUGCGGAAUUCCAGGUGUAGCGGAUGAAAUGCGUAGAUAUCUGGAGGAACACCGGUGGCGAAGGCGGCC
rnacentral:rRNA from 1 species